CGCUGGCGGCGUGCUUCAUACAUGCAAGUCGAACGAGAAGCUAGAGCUUGCUCUAGUGGAAAGUGGCGGACGGGUGAGUAAUAUGUAGGAAAUCUGCCCUAGAGAGGGGGACAACAGAAGGAAACUUCUGCUAAUACCCCAUAUGAGCUUGGUUGAAAUACCAAUCUUGAAAACUCCGGUGCUCUAGGAUGAGCCUGCACCUGAUUAGCUUGUUGGUGGUGUAAUGGACUACCAAGGCGACGAUCAGUAGCUGGUUUGAGAGGAUGAUCAGCCACAAUGGGACUGAGACACGGCCCAGACUCCUACGGGAGGCAGCAGUGGGGAAUAUUGCACAAUGGAGGAAACUCUGAUGCAGCGACGCCGCGUGAAGGAUGAAGUAUUUCGGUAUGUAAACUUCUAUCAGCAGGGAAGAAAAUGACGGUACCUGACUAAGAAGCCCCGGCUAACUACGUG
rnacentral:rRNA from 1 species